CAGCUGUGGUCAGUGACGUGUGCUUAAUCGUGCAGCACUUCCUCUCUCUGCCCCUCGUGACCACCCAACUUGAGUCAGAUAGAUGGAGAGGGAAGGACAGAGUGACCAAGCAUCAAGUUACUCUCCUGGACGGUCCAGUAUAGAGCACUGAGCACCCGCUGGGCCACGGUGGCAUGUUAAUCUCCCCCUUCAUGAUGCUCCUCACCACUGUGCAGCUCCUACCCUGCCAGAUGGUCCAUCAGGAAGUGAACCCAGUGGUAGCCCCUGCUCCAUCCCUCUCGGUGCUGCAGGCAAAGGAGGAGUAUUUCCUUGGAGAUGCUGUUACGCUGGUGUGCACCACUCCCCCCACCAUCACUGGGAAGCGUUUGUACCAACUUUUUGGUGAGGCCGGCUGGGCACUAUCAGAGUUUAGCUGCAGGAACAACUACACCCACAAGUUCAUCCUCUCCCAAAUGCAGCAUAGGGGGCCACAUUUCUGCAGCUACAGCCUGCAGAAAGCCCAGAGGUCAUUCAGAUCCCCACCCAGUGAAAAACUGAUGAUCAAGAUUGAGGAACCUCUUCCCCAACCACUGCUGAUGGUGGAGUCACCACUGGGAGAGGUUAUGAGAGGAGAUCUCCUAAGAAUCAUCUGCAAGGCCCCUGGAAAUGCCACUGAGCGGAGGUUUCACUUCUACAGGGAUGGGGGAGAGUUCCCCCCCAGGAAGGCAGGUUCUGAGAACAACACAUCUGAGAGAGAGGACAUUUUGAAGAAUGCCAUGGUCCUCCACUUUCUGCAUUCUGGCCCCCAACACAGUGGAAACUUUACCUGCAAGUAUGAGGAAAAGAUACAUGGGAGGUGGAUCCCCUCCCUCACAAGCCAAGCCAUGAAUGUCAAUAUUAAUAGCAACAAGAGAGGAAACAGCUGCUUCCUCCUUUUACGGUUCUUGGUUGUGGGUGGCUGCUUCUUCACUGUCAAUGGCCUCAUCCUCCUCUUCUUCCGGAUGUGGGUGAAAGAUGAAGACUCCCCAUUACAGUCUGGAGACAGACUCACCAGGACCUCCCAAACAGCCUGUAGAUCCCUGUCCACCCUGCAACCCCAGUCCAGCACUCAGCAUCAUGAGUAUGAGCAGGAUGAGUGA
rnacentral:lncRNA from 1 species